AUCAAUAUUCUUAUGAUCAAUAUUCUUAUGAUCAAUAUUCUUAUGAUCCAUAUUCUUCUUGUUUGUGUCUUGCUCAAACCUUAUGGCCACAUCCGUGUUCAUUAUAUACACUUUAUACAUAUAUAAUAAGAUGUUAUAUACAUAGUGAUGCCUUGUUAAUGGUUUUUUUUUACAUAAUGCCUUUGACCUUAUGAUUUAGGGUUCUUCAAAAAUAAAUGCUGUAAAGAUAU